rnacentral:rRNA from 1 species
GGGUGACUGCGUACCUUUUGUAUAAUGGGUCAGCGACUUAUAUUCUGUAGCAAGGUUAACCGUAUAGGGGAGCCGCAGGGAAACCGAGUCUUAACUGGGCGUUAAGUUGCAGGGUAUAGACCCGAAACCCGGUGAUCUAGCCAUGGGCAGGUUGAAGGUUGGGUAACACUAACUGGAGGACCGAACCGACUAAUGUUGAAAAAUUAGCGGAUGACUUGUGGCUGGGGGUGAAAGGCCAAUCAAACCGGGAGAUAGCUGGUUCUCCCCGAAAGCUAUUUAGGUAGCGCCUCGUGAAUUCAUCUUCGGGGGUAGAGCACUGUUUCGGCUAGGGGGUCAUCCCGACUUACCAACCCGAUGCAAACUACGAAUACCGAAGAAUGUUAUCACGGGAGACACACGGCGGGUGCUAACGUCCGUCGUGAAGAGGGAAACAACCCAGACCGCCAGCUAAGGUCCCAAAGUCAUGGUUAAGUGGGAAACGAUGUGGGAAGGCCCAGACAGCCAGGAUGUUGGCUUAGAAGCAGCCAUCAUUUAAAGAAAGCGUAAUAGCUCACUGGUCGAGUCGGCCUGCGCGGAAGAUGUAACGGGGCUAAACCAUGCACCGAAGCUGCGGCAGCGACACUAUGUGUUGUUGGGUAGGGGAGCGUUCUGUAAGCCGUUGAAGGUGGCCUGUGAGGGUUGCUGGAGGUAUCAGAAGUGCGAAUGCUGACAUAAGUAACGAUAAUGCGGGUGAAAAACCCGCACGCCGGAAGACCAAGGGUUCCUGUCCAACGUUAAUCGGGGCAGGGUGAGUCGACCCCUAAGGCGAGGCCGAAAGGCGUAGUCGAUGGGAAACAGGUUAAUAUUCCUGUACUUGGUGUUACUGCGAAGGGGGGACGGAGAAGGCUAUGUUGGCCGGGCGACGGUUGUCCCGGUUUAAGCAUGUAGGCGGAUGUUCCAGGUAAAUCCGGAACGUCACUAACGCUGAGGUGUGAUGACGAGGCACUACGGUGCUGAAGUGACAAAUGCCCUGCUUCCAGGAAAAGCCUCUAAGCAUCAGGUAACAUCAAAUCGUACCCCAAACCGACACAGGUGGUCAGGUAGAGAAUACCAAGGCGCUUGAGAGAACUCGGGUGAAGGAACUAGGCAAAAUGGUGCCGUAACUUCGGGAGAAGGCACGCUGAUGGUAGGUGAAGUGACUUGCUCAUGGAGCUGAAAUCAGUCGAAGAUACCAGCUGGCUGCAACUGUUUAUUAAAAACACAGCACUGUGCAAACACGAAAGUGGACGUAUACGGUGUGACGCCUGCCCGGUGCCGGAAGGUUAAUUGAUGGGGUUAUCCUCACGGAGAAGCUCUUGAUCGAAGCCCCGGUAAACGGCGGCCGUAACUAUAACGGUCCUAAGGUAGCGAAAUUCCUUGUCGGGUAAGUUCCGACCUGCACGAAUGGCGUAAUGAUGGCCAGGCUGUCUCCACCCGAGACUCAGUGAAAUUGAACUCGCUGUGAAGAUGCAGUGUACCCGCGGCAAGACGGAAAGACCCCGUGAACCUUUACUAUAGCUUGACACUGAACACUGGUCCUUGAUGUGUAGGAUAGGUGGGAGGCUUUGAAGUGUGGACGCCAGUCUGCAUGGAGCC